AUACCUGAAGCUCUCUCUCCCUCUCCACUCUCCAUAUUUUCUCCACACGGCUCCGGCCACCACACACGGGUAAUCUUUGAAAUUUCAUCGUGAUGGGGAUAGAUCAUUGCAAUUGUUGGUCUUCAACGAGGAAUUCCUAGUAAGCGCGAGUCAUCAGCUCGCGUUGACUAC
rnacentral:ncRNA from 2 species